GUGAGGAAUUUUCCGCAAUGGGCGAAAGCCUGACGGAGCAAUGCCGCGUGAAGGAUGAAGGCCUAUGGGUUGUAAACUUCUUUUCUCAGAAAAGAAUUAUGACGGUAUCUGAGGAAUAAGCAUCGGCUAACUCUGUGCCAGCAGCCGCGGUAAGACAGAGGAUGCAAGCGUUAUCCGGAAUGAUUGGGCGUAAAGCGCCUGUAGGUUGUUUAAAAAGUAUUCUGUCAAAGAUUAGGGCUUAACCCUAGAUAGGCAGAAUAAACUUUUAAGCUAGAGUUUGGUAGAGGCAGAGGGAAUUCCCGGUGGAGCGGUGAAAUGCGUAGAUAUCGGGAGGAACACCAAAGGCGAAGGCACUCUGCUGGGCCAAUACUAACACUGAGAGACGAAAGCGAGGGGAGCAAAUGGGAUUAGAUACCCCGGUAGUCC
rnacentral:rRNA from 1 species